rnacentral:rRNA from 1 species
GACGAACGCUGGCGGCGUGCUUAACACAUGCAAGUCGAACGCAGUGGCGAACGGGUGAGUAACGCGUAAUCAACCUGCCCUUCCGUGGGGGCAAACAGUUGGAAACGACUGCUAAUACCGCAUACUGAAGGUUGGGCUGGCGUCUGUUUAGGUAGUUGGAGGGGUAACGGCCCACCAAGGCGAUGAUCAGUAGCCGGUGUGAGAGGAGGAACGGCCACAAUGGGACUGAGACACGGCCCAGAAUCCUACGGGAGGCAGCAGUGGGGAAUCUUCCGCAAUGGACGAAAGUCUGACGGAGCAACGCCGGGUGAGUGAUGACGGCCUUCGGGUUGUAAAGCUCUGUUAAUCGGGACGCGGUACCGGAAUAGAAAGCCACGGCUAACUACGUGCCAGCAGCCGCGGUAAUAC